CCUACGGGGCGCAGCAGUCGAGAAUCAUUCACAAUGGGGGAAACCCUGAUGGUGCGACGCCGCGUGGAGGAAGAAGGUUUUCGGAUUGUAAACUCCUUUUAUCAGGGACGAUAAUGACGGUACCUGAAGAAAAAGCUCCGGCUAACUACGUGCCAGCAGCCGCGGUAAUACGUAGGGAGCGAGCGUUGUCCGGAAUUACUGGGUGUAAAGGGAGCGUAGGCGGGACGGCAAGUCAGAUGUGAAAAAUGAGGGCUCAACCUUCAGACUGCAUUUGAAACUGCUGUUCUUGAGUGAAGUAGAGGAAA
rnacentral:rRNA from 1 species